rnacentral:rRNA from 1 species
UGGGGAAUUGUUCGCAAUGGGCGCAAGCCUGACGACGCAACGCCGCGUGGAGGAUGAAGAUCUUCGGGUCGUGAACUCCUGUCGAGCGGGAAGAACACCUUCCGGGUGAACAAUCCGGAAGGCUGACGGUACCGCUAAAGGAAGCCCCGGCUAACUCUGUGCCAGCAGCCGCGGUAAUACAGAGGUGGCAAGCGUUGUUCGGAAUUACUGGGCGUAAAGGGCGCGUAGGCGGCCCUCUAAGUCAGACGUGAAAUCCCCCGGCUUAACCUGGGAACUGCGUCUGAUACUGGAGGGCUUGAGUAUGGGAGAGGGAUGUAGAAUUCCAGGUGUAGCGGUGAAAUGCGUAGAUAUCUGGAGGAAUACCGGUGGCGAAGGCGGCAUCCUGGACCAUUACUGACGCUGAGGCGCGAAAGCUAGGGGAGCAAACGGGAUUAGAUACCCCGGUAGUCCUAGCCCUAAACGAUGAAUACUUGGUGUGGCGGGUAUCGAUCCCUGCCGUGCCGAAGCUAACGCAUUAAGUAUUCCGCCUGGGGAGUACGGUCGCAAGGCUGC